AUUGAACGCUGGCGGCAGGCCUAACACAUGCAAGUCGAGCGAGCGGCGGACGGGUGAGUAAUGUCUGGGAAACCGCCUGAUGGAGGGGGAUAACUACUGGAAACGGUAGCUAAUACCGCAUACCAUCAGAUGUGCCCAGAUGGGAUUAGCUAGUAGGUGGGGUAACGGCUCACCUAGGCGACGGUCCCUAGCUGGUCUGAGAGGAUGACCAGCCACACGGGAACUGGGACACGGUCCUGACUCCUACGGGAUGCAGCGUUGGGGAAUAGUGCACAAUGGGCGCAAUCCGGAUGCAGCCAUGCCGCGUGUGUGAAGAAAGCCUUCGGGUUGUAAAGCACUUUCAGCGGGGAGGCGUUACCCGCAGAAGAAGCACCGGCUAACUCCGUGCCAGCCGCCGCGGUAAGUC
rnacentral:rRNA from 1 species